GAGAACAGAACGGGGACCUGAGCAGCUGCCGUCACCACCAUUUUCAAUGGUGCGAAGAUUAAUUUGUUGACAAGAAAACAGGGCAAGGAAGGAGUUGGAGACUUCAGAUGAAUUGGAAAACCAAUCAACAUCAAGGUGAAGAAAGGCGUGAAUGAGGAUGGUUUGUUGUGGACUGAAAUGGGUCUAAUUUGAUCUCAAAUGAUUUGAGAUGCAGUCAAUUGAAUGAAGGCUUGAGUAGUUGAAUUGACGGUGUAUGAACCUGAUUGCAGCAGCGGUUAUUCUUUAAGUAAUUACAUGGGUAUGGCAGGUCCGUUGCAGGAAGCGUUUUUGUACAGGAAAGAACAGCAACAAUGGCGGCUGUUGGUACUGAAUUUAAGGGAUUUCUGGUGGUUGUUUUUGAGAGAUUGAGAAUGGAUACUAGAUGAUGCUGCUACUGCAAUUAAUUGCUCGAAUGAAUGGCAUGAAGUUUUAUUAUUUUAGGGUCCUGGUAUGCUUGAGAAAUUCGUGGUCUUGUGAAUUCGAAAUUGCAGGUACAACUAAGAUAUAAGAGGAGCUUCAUACAACCAGCUGGAGGCUACCUCUUUACAUACUGAAGUUGCACUGCAGUUUCUCGCAGAAUUGCCUGAAAGAAGAAUUUACAAUGGGCCAGAAAUAGAAAGUGGUGAUGUGGUGCUCACUGGUUGCAUUCGAUGGAGGCCAUUAGCUGACGCAGUAGAUGAUGGAGGAGUUGUGUUAACUGAACUCGUUUCGUUGUGUAUGCGGUGUUGGUUCGAAUGAAGAUGGAUUUGGCCUGAAAUGAUCUUGAUGCGAUCGUGGUUAAUGGAAAUGGCUACAACAAUGUAGUUGUUUGGAGAGAUUUGUGGCUGUUAAUGCGAACGGAUAAGAAGGCUUGUUUACUGUGAUGGAGCUGCACUAUAGAGUCGUUGUUGCUUACUCGACUGUACGUACAACAAUGAUAUUUAGGAGUUCGAUUCAUUGAAGCAUAUGGACUGAAUAAGAAGAACUGAUGGGGGAAA